GUGGACGCCAGUCUGCGUGGAGCCGACCUUGAAAUACCACCCUUUAAUGUUUGAUGUUCUAACGUGGACCCGUAAUCCGGGUUGCGGACAGUGUCUGGUGGGUAGUUUGACUGGGGCGGUCUCCUCCUAAAGAGUAACGGAGGAGCACGAAGGUUGGCUAAUCCUGGUCGGACAUCAGGAGGUUAGUGCAAUGGCAUAAGCCAGCUUGACUGCGAGCGUGACGGCGCGAGCAGGUGCGAAAGCAGGUCAUAGUGAUCCGGUGGUUCUGAAUGGAAGGGCCAUCGCUCAACGGAUAAAAGGUACUCCGGGGAUAACAGGCUGAUACCGCCCAAGAGUUCAUAUCGACGGCGGUGUUUGGCACCUCGAUGUCGGCUCAUCACAUCCUGGGGCUGAAGUAGGUCCCAAGGGUAUGGCUGUUCGCCAUUUAAAGUGGUACGCGAGCUGGGUUUAGAACGUCGUGAGACAGUUCGGUCCCUAUCUGCCGUGGGCGCUGGAGAACUGAGGGGGGCUGCUCCUAGUACGAGAGGACCGGAGUGGACGCAUCACUGGUGUUCGGGUUGUCAUGCCAAUGGCACU
rnacentral:rRNA from 3 species